rnacentral:rRNA from 1 species
AACGAACGCUGGCGGCGUGCCUAACACAUGCAAGUCGAGCGAGAAAGGGGUAGCAAUACCCCGAGUAAAGCGGCGCACGGGUGAGUAACACGUAGGUAACCUACCUCUAAGACCGGGAUAACUCGUCGAAAGAUGGGCUAAUACCAGAUAAGACCACAGUCUCUUCGGAGAUCGAGGUCAAAGGUGGCCUCUGCAUGCAAGCUAUCACUUAGAGAUUGGCCUGCGCACCAUUAGCUAGUAGGUGAGGUAACGGCUCACCAAGGCGACGAUGGGUAGCCGGCCUGAGAGGGCGACCGGCCACACUGGAACUGAGACACGGUCCAGACUCCUACGGGAGGCAGCAGUGAGGAAUCUUGCGCAAUGGGCGAAAGCCUGACGCAGCGACGCCGCGUGGAGGAUGAAGGUCUUCGGAUCGUAAACUCCUGUCUAGUGGGACGAAAGCGAGGGAGGUGAACAGCCUUCCCCGUUGACGGUACCGCUGGAGGAAGCCCCGGCUAACUCCGUGCCAGCCGCCGCGGUAAUAC